AGAGAUGUUCUCCCAUCGCUAUUGGCUGUCAAAUUUGGGAUGCAAUCCGUCCGAAUGUCGACACAAUCAGCAGAACAAAGCAGCUACCAUGAUUUGCCCAUUGAUCUCUUGGAGUGAUUCAAACCUGCAAGCACCAGGAUUGAGUGACUCCUGCAUAUGAUGACUGAAGAAUUUUUCAUCAAUUUUCCAACCUGAAUUAGAUACAGAAUUUGGGAAAAGAGGAGUCCAGGCUCUAAUGAACACACCGUCUUUCCCAGAAACCACUUCAACUAGCCCAGGACUGUGUCUAUUAGUCCUCCGGUAU